GCUAAACCCCUAGCCCUAACUCACCCAAUGUUAACCUUUUAACCCUAUUCACCAACUAAAGCAUUUUAACGAUUUAGUAAAGGAGAUUAAAAAACCCUUAGGAGCUACAAAAAGAGUACCGCAAGGGAAAGGUGAAAUAAAAAUGAAACAAAUUUUAAGCAAAAAGCAGUAAAGAAAAGCCCUUGUACCUUUUGCAUCAUGGUUUAACUAGUCAAAUCAAGCAAAAAGACCUUCAGUUUGACCCCCCGAAACUAAACGAGCUACUUUGAGGCAGCCUCCUGAGCCAACCCGUCUCUGUUGUAAAAGAGUGGGACGACCCCUAAGUAGCGGUGACAAACCUACCGAGUUUAGUGAUAGCUGGUUGCUUAAGAAAAGGACCUAAAUCCACACUAAAUUGACCUUCAUACAAAAAAUAUCGCCUUCAAUUUAGACUCAUUCAAGUAAGGUACAGCCUGCUUGAAAAAGGACACAACCUCCCCCUAUGGGUAAUUAAUACAACAUUUACACCUAAGUGGGCCUAAAAGCAGCCAUCUUAGUCAAUAGCGUCAUAGCUUAAUUGUAAAUAAGCUUAAUCACAUCUUACAUAUAAAACCCUACUCCACUACUGAGCAAUUCUAUACAUUAUAUGGAAAUUCUUAUGUUAAAACUAGUAACAAGAAGCCACACCUCUCUUUAAUGCAAACCCACAUCAGACUGGAUCAACCACUGAUAAAUAACACUCCUGACCCUAAAAUAGUAACUAAACAAGAAAACCCUACUUUCCCAAGUGUUAACCUAACACAAGAGCAUUACAAGAAAGAUUAAAAGAAAAAGAAGGAACUCGGCAAACAUUGACCCCGCCUGUUUACCAAAAACAUCGCCUCUUGCCCCUCACAUAAGAGGUCCAGCCUGCCCAGUGACACUGUUCAACGGCCGCGGUAUCCUAACCGUGCGAAGGUAGCGUAAUCACUUGUUCUUUAAAUAAGGACUAGUAUGAAAGGCACCACGAGAGUCAUACUGUCUCCUUUCUCUAAUCAGUGAAACUAAUCUUCCCGUGAAGAAGCGGGGAUAAAAAUAUAAGACGAGAAGACCCUAUGGAGCUUCAAACAAAUAACACUUGCCCCAGACCCCUAAUUUCAGAAAAAUUUUCUACCCCGGCAUCAUGAUUAUUAGUUUUCGGUUGGGGUGACCACGGAAUAAAAAACAACCUCCGCAAUGAAAGACACUCAUCUACUUAAUCAAGGGCCACAACCCCACACAUCAACAAAUUGACACUAAUUGACCCAACAUGUUGAUCAAUGAACCAAGUUACCCUAGGGAUAACAGCGCAAUCCACUUCAAGAGCUCCUAUCGACAAGUGGGUUUACGACCUCGAUGUUGGAUCAGGGUGUCCCAGUGGUGCAGCCGCUACUAAAGGUUCGUUUGUCAA
rnacentral:rRNA from 1 species